rnacentral:lncRNA from 1 species
UCUAGGCUUUUGUCCCAUCAUGUGUGCAAUGUUCACAGAAGGAGAGCUUCUCUUUCCAGGUGAUGUCAUUGGCCCAGCCUGAGUCAUGUGACCAUUUCUGAACCAAUCACUGUAACCAAUGGAAUGGGUUAUGCUAAUUGGCCUGGCCAGGUCGCAUGCCAACCCCUGGAACUACUGAUGGCAUCAAGACUUCUUGGAACCACAUGGACUAAACGUGAAGACUGGGUAAGCUGUCAAAGCAAAAUUGGCAUGCCACUAUCAGAAGAAAGGAAAACGGAUACUAAAUUGGUUAAAAUCAACCUAAAUCAAAAAACCCCACCCAGAGGUCUUGAUUCUGGGUUCAGAAAUCUUGGUUCUCAGGCUCCCAGCAUGUCUCAUUAAGAUGAGUUGGCCAACUUGGAUCAGAGAGAGGGGACAAAUGGUCACCUUAGGACUAAACAAAAUUUUCAAAGAAACUGUCUUUGCAGGCGCUGAUCUCGCAGGUUCAAAGCUGAAGUGGAAAUUCAGUCUUUGUUGGAUACUGCAAACCCCAGCCUGCAGGCUUUGUUCCCAGCAGUCUCCUGACUCUCCUGGGUGGUGGCGGAUGGGGCCUGAUAUUGAUGUUAAAGGACACGGAGGUGCUGAACACGGCCAUUCUCACCGGAAAGGCUGUUUCGGUUCCCGUCAAGGUCGUGGGUGUUCAAGAGGACGGUUCUGUGGUCGACGUGUCGGAGUCUGUGGAAUGCAGGUCUGCGGACGAAGACGUCAUCAAGCACACUGGUUGGCAGCUUCGUUUUGCGGCGGAGACCUCAGGGAGACAGGAUUUAAAUCUUCAGAACCAUCUUUUCUCCUUCAAGGUGCUAAGAGAGCCCCAGGUCCUAUCUGUUCGCUCAUUUCAGAAAAUACCGUCAUGCUGAGAGCUCUGUCCCGCCUCGCCUUCCAUCGGCUCCGGUUUAGAAGUCAAAGGAAGCGUGGUCCCGGCCUCAAGGACGAAGUACAUCCUCUGGCCGAGUCCCCCAGUCGAAGAAGUCUUCCC